rnacentral:lncRNA from 1 species
UAUUCAUGAACCGCGCCAUGCUGCAGCCAGGGCUCGCUACUGCAGGUGGCUGUUACAUCAGUAAUUGCUCAAUACUUCCCUCCACAGCGUAAAAUUGUUUUCAUUAUGUGUCAUGAACACAGAGCCAAGCAAAGCCCUCUUGAGUUAGAAUAUCUUCAUAUAUUUUUGAAGAAAGAAGAGGCUGACCAAUUAAGAGGAGUGAAAUUUGGAGGAAAUUACUAACCUGAUAAUUAGA